AUUAAACGAGAGUUUGAUCCUGGCUCAGGACGAACGCUGGCGGCGUGCCUAACACAUGCAAGUCGAACGAUCUACAUUUAUGUAGAUAGUGGCGGACGGGUGAGUAACGCGUGAGCAAUCUGCCCUAUACAGAGGAAUAGCCUCGGGAAACCGGGA
rnacentral:rRNA from 1 species